rnacentral:tRNA from 2 species
GGUUCCAUACUGUAGUGGUUAGCAUGUCUGCUUUACAUGCAGAAGGUCCUGGGUUCGAACCCCAGUGGAAUCA